CCUGCGUUGUAUUAGCUAGUAGGUGAGGUAAUGGCUCACCUAGGCGACGAUACAUAGCCGACCUGAGAGGGUGAUCGGCCACACUGGGACUGAGACACGGCCCAGACUCCUACGGGAGGCAGCAGUGGGGAAUAUUGCACAAUGGGGGAAACCCUGAUGCAGCCAUGCCGCGUGUGUGAAGAAGGCCUUCGGGUUGUAAAGUACUUUCAGCGGGGAGGAAGGCGUUAAGGUUAAUAACCUUGGCGAUUGACGUUACCCGCAGAAG
rnacentral:rRNA from 1 species